CUAAAGCCUCCUCGGGACGGCGCUGAGGUGAAACAGGCUGAACCCGACUGAUGUGGCUCCUCUCUCGGUUGGACCCAGUGCCCUAAGCAGCCGAUGAGAGACCCCCGGCCGCCCGGCUCGCAGGUAUCUUUGUAGUGCUGAAAUGGACACGCUAAUUGUGAACCAUGUGGUAAGGAGCUCCUUCUAAAAUAUGCAGCAGCGUAUUUACCGGAAUUUAGCAGGCUGUGUACUUCAAGGCUUCUCUUGCCUGUAGUGAUGUGAACAAACAUUGCAAGUCACAAUGCCAGCUCGAGAUCCAGCACAGCAUGUAACAGCAGCACUGAAACAGCCCCUGCCACUAGGCAAGGGACAGAAAGGAGAUGGUGACCUGCAACGGGAUGAGAGACCUCGCUUACCAGGAUUUGCUCACGGUUUUGCUUCUGGCAACUAACAUUUCCAUUUUUCUCAAAGCUUCUACAUCUGUGUCAUCAGACAAAACCCCAUGAGUGGUGGCAGAGCAAACUGUAGCCUUCAUUUUCAAGUUGGAAGAGAAAAAAAUUAUUUACAUGUCUAAAUCCCAGAACCAGCUGUUCAGAGGUCACUCUUUGUUGCCCGCUGCUAUGAACCACUACGGCUUCUGAAAGCUCUAAAAGAAACAGGACAUAGUCUGGGGCAGAAAACUCUUAUUGUUUUAAGUUUGUUUAAAUACUAUUUAAUUGUAUUAUAUAAUUCUAGUCCUACCAGAGGAACAUGGAAGAUGGGAUGCUUCUGUCAUUACUUGCAUGCAUGACUACUUAAAUUGACUGUCAGACCUUGCAGGACAAAUCUUUGACCCUUCUUAAGAUUGUUUUAAACUGAAGGAAAUUAUCUUUUAAGUGAUUAGGACUUUAGACUAUUUUUAAGGGAAAAUUAUUGAUUCAUGCAAUGAAUUUUACUGUUUUAUCACCCUUCCACUUCAGUAUUUACAUAUCUUUCUUGUUACAAAUUUAGGUAAAUGUUUAACUAUGUGUUUUAAUGUUGCCCUGUCUUUUUAUUUUCCUUUCCUGUUUUAGACAUAUUUUCCCGAAUCAAACCAUAGAAUUUAGUGACAAUUAGUAUAAUUUCCAGAAAUAACAUUAAGAGUUUCUGUACUAAGUGUGGGAAUGUAGAUGUUAAGGGGAAGCACAAGUAAUGACUUUUUUUUUUCCAUUCAAAAAGGAAGCACUGAGACGUCAAGGUUAUUCAACAGAAAUGAAUAAAUGCAGUCUGGAAAGUUGUUAUUUUUCCAAACUGUGAGAGGAUCUCUGAAAUAAUAAAGAUAACAGAAAACAAAAACCUGGAGAAAAUUGUCUAAUUUAAAAAAAAAAAAAGUUAGGAAACA